rnacentral:rRNA from 1 species
CAGCAGCCACGGUAAUACGAAGGGUGCAAGCGUUAAUCGGAAUUACUGGGCGUAAAGCGUGCGUAGGCGGUGAGUUAAGUCUGCUGUGAAAUCCCCGGGCUCAACCUGGGAAUGGCAGUGGAUACUGGCUCGCUAGAGUGUGUCAGAGGGUGGUGGAAUUCCCGGUGUAGCGGUGAAAUGCGUAGAGAUCGGGAGGAACAUCAGUGGCGAAGGCGGCCAUCUGGGACAACACUGACGCUGAGGCACGAAAGCGUGGGGAGCAAACAGGAUUAGAUACCCGAGUAGUCCCUGUCUCUUAUAC